CUUCCAUGGUGGGAUAAUGACUCCAGAUCACUUUCCUGCUAAAUCACGCUCCCUUUGUCAAGGCUACAUCUCUUGGCCAAGGAAGCAGGAGAGUUGUGGUGUUCGUAUGGAGCCUCCAGUCGUUUCACGGACUAUUGACCCAUUCACCACUAAUCCGCUGCCACCAACCAGCUUCUCCCCAGUAAAACACUUAGUCACAGUUGGGUUCUCAAGUUAACAACGAAGAUUGUAGUUUAUUGCAAACACAAAUAAACUUUAAAUGCAUUCGAAACGCUCUUACCCUUUACCCUCUUAGUCUUACUUUAUCCUGUCUCUAACUCACUCUAACUCCUCUACCUCCCCUCACACAAGAACCAACUGCACUAACUGUCUCUCUAUUUCCAACUGUCUUCCAACUGCUUUUUCCCAACUGCCUAAACCUCUGGCAAAGCCUUUUAAAAACAGAUAGGACUCUGGGCUUUUCUAUUGGUCUACCUAUUAACCCUUUCUCCCCCCCUGUACAGACAUUUCCAAAAGAACAGGCAAACACCACAGUCCUCUCCCAUAUUAACCCCACAAUUCAGUCUUCAUGAGAUCUCUCCUGGAACAGAUAUUUCCAGCCCAAGUUAGUUUGGCUCCCCUUUCUACCCUCACCAGCAUUUUCUAUUGUCCUUCCAUGUUUGUUACUCUGUGUUUGGUCUAGUUAGGAACCUAUGGAAAGGCUCCUUGUAUUCUUCCCUUGAACCACUUCCACCAGUUAGGAGGGUUCCGGUUGCCUUGUUUUGUACAGUGCACUGGAUGGAGUUCAAGGGAAACUUUGGCUGGAUGGGAAUGAAAACAAUCCACAAUGGCCCCGCUUUUUGCACUCUUUGACUGUUUUUUUGUCUGGCAGAGAUGUCCUCAGACUCUGCUCAUGGCUCUUACUUGCCUGGGUAGAGGACAGAGAGGGGUGUCUGAGUAUACAGAAACUAUCCUACCAUACAAUGAUAACAUUUACAUUCAUGGAUCUGUCCACUUUGCCUCUGACCCAUUCUUGACACAUGCGCCCCCCAUCCUCCCCAGAAGGCUGUUCAGAAGUGAAUGUGUCCCUCAGGCUGAAAACAUUUCCCUACCGCAGACAUAAAUUGGGGAGAUAUGGCAAGUGGAAUAUUUUCUUGAGCUAGUGCUUUUGCAGACAUAUUUGCAAGGCUGUGGUAAGUCACCAUGCUCAAAGUACUCUUGUGCAGGUUUUUUAAAAUAAGAAAAACUAUUAAAGUUGCUGCUGAAAAUUGAAUUGAAAAUACUACAGUCAGGUAAAUAUCACUUAUAUUUGGGAUAUAUGGUUUCAACGUAACAGAAUACCAAGAAGGAUCAGAUUGUCUACUUAGAUCAGCCAGAACUAGCCAGAAGGGGGCUUUUAAUUUUAAAAAAGACAUUAUUAAGGCAGAUGAGUUACAUAAGUAUACAGAGUAGGGCGGGGUGACAAUCCUAACCAUAUAUUCUUUAUUUACUUCCCUAGUCAUUUUAGGACACAAAGGUGUAAGAAAACCAUGGUAGAAGAAAGAAGAUGAAAUCAAAUUUGCAAUAUAAGUUAUAAAGAGAGAAAUCUAUGGAAAUCCCUUCCCCCUCCAACCCUUGCCAAUACCUGCAUAAGGCAGAUAGUGAAGGGAGGAAAAGCACUAUGUCGUCUUUAGAAGCCAGGCUCCACUCACUCACUCGUCCUUUCUUAUCUAUAUUCAUGGGUUUUUCAGGGGCCCAGCAGUUACAUGUCAGAAUGAUGAGUCUCAACCUUGUUUCAGGAUAAAGCAUCAAUCUGCCGGUGCAUACUGAGUCUGACCUGAUAGAAUUUAAGAGGUACUGUAGGCUCUGUGAUUCCUCUACAGAAUGUAAUUUUUGAACUCAGUCCUCAGUGAUAGACAAGAUAUUCUAUCAAAGCUGCCUCUCUGAAUUGAGGAAAGAGCUGUCCCAGGAGUAUAUCUCGAAGGUUUUGCCAAUCUGUGUUCACGUGGAGACUAACAACCGUCUUACAAGUGACUUUUCUCCCUUCUGUUUAGCAUGGACCUAGUACGCUCUGUCCUCCCACCUUUCACUUUACUUCCAGACAGAUGCAAUAUAUUAUUUGUCUGCUAUGUGCACUUAUUUCCCUGCUGAUCUAGGAGCAGCCGUGGAAAAGGGGAAUUUCAUGUUGGGGGUCGUUUGAUAGCAGGGGCUGAAGCGCUUCCUCUGAAGUGUGAGAUCGGAAAGAAAGUUAAUGAUAAUGACUGUUAAAUCUUAUGUAAGCACAGCAGAUUUAAUGCUUGUUGGGGAGGGUGGGGAUGAGUAAGUGUUAAUCAAACACUGCAUUUUUUGCUCUAUAGGACGCACUUUUCCCCCUCCAAAAAUUAAGGGGAAAUGUGUGUGCGUCCUAUGGAGCAAAUGCAGGCUCUGUGGCUUCAGCGAAAGCAACGCGAAGCCUCCGAAGUGCAGAGGGAGCGCUCCUUCCGCGUUCCGGAGGCUUCAUGUUGCUUUCGCUGAAGCCUGAAGAGCAAGAGGGGUCGGUGUGCACCGACCCCUCUCGCUCUCCAGGCUUCAGGGAUAGCCGCCUGAAGCCUUCAGAGCACAGCGCGAGUUCCCGCUGCAUUCCGCAGGCUUCAGGUUCCUUUCGCUGAAGCCGGGAGAGCAAGACUCUCCUGGCUUCAGCAGAGAGGGAGAGCUGCACAGCGCCCCUUCAGCCAAGCGGGAGGAGAAAUGGAAGGGGCUCCUUUCUCCUGCCGCUUCACUGAAGUGGCGCUGACCAGAGAGGGGAGAUUCCUCCCCCCUUGUUCUCCCCCUCUAAAACAAGGUGCAUCCUAUGGUCGGGUGCGUCCUAUAGAGCGAAAAAUAUGGUAUAUCUGGGCGCCAGCCACAGGAAAAUCCUAAUCUCUGGUGGCUACCUCUCUAUUUACUAAAGCAGGGGUGCUUGGAGAAAGGUCUCUAGUGACCAAUGGCACCAUCUCUAAGGGGCUGUGGGUGUCUCAGCCUCCUCAAUAUUUGUAGGCAGGGGGCCAAGCCCCCCAAAUUUUGAGGGGGUAGAGGAGGUCUCAUCCCAAAGAUAUGCACUUGGCUGACUGCACCACCCCCACCGCUGCCACAGUGACCAGGCCAGGGCCUCUACCGCCCUCACCUCCACUGCCUCUUCGGCAACGAGGCCAUGACCUCCAGUGCGAGGCCUCCACCGAGUCCCACCACAGCCAUAGCCGCACCCCAGGAAGCCAGGCUGCACUUCCAGGAGCUCAACCACAUCUGCAGAGGGCCCCAACGGAGGCCAUGUGGCAGAAGUGGAGGCCCUGGCUCAGUCGCCACCACAGCAGCAAGCCAGCAGAUGCAAAGCAGUGGGAAGCAGCCGAGCAUGGAGCCCAGCGUCAUGAGCACAUGAUGCACAAGUAAUGUUACUACGUCACAUUGCACGUGCGCCGCUGAGCACCCACAAUCUGGGGCGCAAGUCGGUGCCUCUGCUAAUGGCUAUCACAGCAAAUGCCUAAGUUCAUACAGGAGAAGAAGAGUUUGGAUUUGAUAUCCCGCUUUAUCACUACCCGAAGGAGUCUCAAAGCGGCUAACAUUCUCCUUUCCCUUCCUCCCUCACAACAAACACUCUGUGAGGUGAGUGGGGCUGAGAGACUUCAGAGAAGUGUGACUAGCCCAAGGUCACCCAGCAGCUGCAUGUGGAGGAGCGGAGACGCGAACCCGGUUCCCCAGAUUACGAGUCUAUUGCUCCUAACAACUACACCACACUGGCUCUCCAAACUUCAGAAACAUAAGCCAUGUAGCACCUCAGUGAGAACUAGUCCCUAGUCCACUGAAUUGUGAAACUGAUUCCACAAGUUGGACCUGCAUCAAAGUUUACGGUUCAGGGUUCCAGACAUUAUCUUUUUGAGGAUAAUCCAUUGCAUUUCCCUCUUUGCUUAGUUUUUCUAUCCUCUGCAUAACAGUCACCAUACUGGGACCACUCGUCAUGUUCAGCCCCCUCUAGACCGGACAUUUGGGCAGAACCCUUUGUUUGUAAAACCGUUAUCCUGCAACCGCCCCCUUUUAUGCAUGGAUGGUACCACUUCGACUACAUAAGGAUCCAAUUCUAUUGGUAUAUAUAUCAUAUCAGCCUUUGCCAACCAGAUGUCCUACAGAUGGUUUGGAUUUCAACUCCCAUCAGCACCAGCCAGUUGUGCUGGCAAUCUAGAAUUGGACUGGUAUUUCUGGUCCGGUGAGUUUGUUUAUUUAAUUAAUUCCAUUUAAGAAUCACUUCCCAUAAAAUGAGAGGAAAUUUAGGAUGGGAAAGUAGGGGGGAAUAGUUUUGUUGAACGGCAGUAUAUAGAUGAAAUGGGUAUAUUUAUACUAUUCCAUUGCCCCCACCUUUAAAAAAAAUAGUAUAUGGGUGAAUAUGUGGACACACACACACACACACACACACCAUUUUACAUAAUUAAAAAACAAACAACUUCCAAAAUUAUUCAGCGCAUGAAUGUGCCCACUUCGCAAACUUUAGGCAAUAGUGCUAGUUACAGCUCCUUAUGUUCCAAACGAUAAACGAGGACUCAUAAGUAGGGAUGGGAUUAGCUAUUCUGUACCUGUUCAUCUUUUGACCGAGUGAUCAUUACUCAAACUUGGAAGCUUAAAGAAAUGUGAAUCACAACACACCACGGUUGGUGGUUUGCAAAAAUAGCAUUUUUGGAUUUGAACCUUCUUGCAACAUUGCAGCAUUUAUGCAAUGGGUGCAGUUCUUCACAGUACUGCUGCUGUUAUUCAUUGCUCAUCAUCAAGCAGUAAUUUGCAUGCCUCCAGAGGUAUUGUAAUCUGUCUGUCUUGUGGUGUCACAUUAGGUUUGAUGUGACCCCUUCUUCUGUCCUUAUUUUCUUUGGGAGUUUAAUGUGGCUUGCAAAUACAGCUGAACAAAGUACUUCAUUUUACUGUUUUGCUAUUUUUCAAGUUGACUUCAUCAUCGAUCCUCAGUUGUGCCAUUGGCCCUAACUGCGUUGUUUGUUUUGCAGGAGGGAUCUGCAUUGUUUAUUUUAAGUCUUGUUUGUAAAAAUCAUUUUCUUUAGAAAUAAAAGCCCUUUUUU
rnacentral:lncRNA from 1 species